UACGUAGGGUGCAGGCGUUAAUCGGAAUUACUGGGCGUAAAGCGUGCGCAGGCGGUUUGCUAAGGCAGGUGUGAAAUCCCCGGGCUUAACCUGGGAACUGCGCUUGUAACUGGCAAGCUGGAGUGUGGCAGAGGGGGGUGGAAUUCCACGUGUAGCAGUGAAAUGCGUAGAGAUGUGGAGGAACACCGAUGGCGAAGGCAGCCCCCUGGGCUAACACUGACGCUCAUGCACGAAAGCGUGGGGAGCAAACAGG
rnacentral:rRNA from 1 species